ACAUGCCAGCGCCAACUGCGGACACUACACUCUCCCAGAGCCGUUUCUCUUACUCUUUUCGCCAGCACGAACACACGCACACACACGUGGUGGUAGCAGCAGCAGACCUUGCCCCCCCCAUCCUCCACCCCCUCCCGUACAUCUUUUUCAGCAGGCAAGCCAAGAAAAUGGUGCAGCUUCUCGAGUCCUUCAGGGGCGACAAUGUCUGCCAGUGGAUGGCCGACCACAUCGAGGUGCCAGUUCUCAUUGUGGGCCUGUACAUGGUGAUGGUGUUGUACAUCCCUGACGCGUACAUGAAAAACCGCGAGCCCUUCAAUCUGCGCCAGCUGAACAUGGCGUGGAACCUUCUGCUGACCGUCUUCUCCAUCUGCGGCGCCUAUUACUGCCUCCCGCAGCUGUAUCGCACGAUCUUUGUGCCGGAGUUCACCGUGCACGACUACACCAACGGUGGCCAUAUCCAGUGGAAAGGCGGCGUGUACAACGCGUUUUGCUACUGGAACAACAAUAUCUUCUACGAUGGCCCCGUCGGCGCCUUCGUAUGCCUCUUCAUCCUCAGCAAGAUCCCUGAGAUGCUCGACACCGCCUUCCUUGUCUUUCAGAAGAAGCCCGUCAUCUUCCUCCACUGGUAUCACCACGUCACCGUCAUGCUGUACUGCUGGCAUGCGUUCAUGUACAACAUCUCCGGUGGCCUCGUGUUCGCUGGCAUGAACUACGGCGUGCACUCCAUCAUGUACUUCUACUACUUCAUCUGCUCCUGCGGGUACCGGAAGUACGUGCGCCCCUUCGCAUCCUUCAUCACCUUCCUCCAGAUUGCGCAGAUGGUGGUGGGGAUGUUCACCGAGGUCUACACGCUUUCCAUCCUCUACUUCACGAAUAGGCGUUGUGACUCGAACGCGACGAAUGCGCGGCUGGGCUUCAUGAUGUAUCUGUCCUACUUCAUCCUCUUCAGCAAGCUCUUCUACGAUAGCUACCUGAAGCCCGCGCCGCCGCACUCGGCUGCCGCGAAGCAUAACGAUGCCACCGCUGUCCCGAACGGCGAGCCGGCAGCAGUGAAAAAGGCUCAGUAGAAGUACAAGGCGGGCCUCCUCGCCUUCCACGCAGCCCCUCUCGCUCGUCCCCAUCGCUGCCUGAGACGGCGUCGUCGUUUUGCGCUCGGCCAGCACAAUUCGCAUGCUCGCGCGCACGCCCAUCCCCCCCCCCGGCUCCUUUGCGUUGUCCACCAUGCUUUUGCCCCUCUUUCGUGUCCUUUUCUGUGUGUUUGCCUCCUCUCGUCUCCGUAGAUUGCGGCAUGCACGGUGCUCACCUCGGCCCUACGCUCCGCACUUAUGCGGAUAACUCAGAGGCGGCACGCGAGGCUCUCCUCCACCAACUGGUCUCUGUCCGCCCCCAUCCCUUGCGUGCACACUUUACCCGCACACUCUCGCGGCCAUGGUUUGGAUUCACUUCCCUGGAAUGAGCAGGCGGAGCACGUGUAUGCAAGUCCCACUUGUUCAUCCAGGUUGUCACGCGGGGAAGGGUGUGAUGGCGUGUGAGCCAUGGGGUUUGGAGGGCGACGAAAAAGGUUCAGCCGCUUCUGCAGUGGCAGCCUGUAUCCGUGGCCAGCGGGCAAUAAGGAAACGAGUGACGUGUGAGGGGAGCGACGGACGAGAGACGGGCCAACUCGCCGCGAAGGCGAGCGACGAGGCGAAUCGAAGUUAUGCGUUCCUCAUUUUUGUUUUUCUCUUGUCUUCUCCCUCCCACCCUCUGUCACGCCUCCUUCACGAUAAGGACGUUGAUGCGGACAUCACCUAAAAUUCACUUCUCCCUCUUUCUCUGUUUUCGCUUUUUUGUGUCCGUGAACGUGCCCGGGCGACCUGGAGACACCCCAGCGUGGCAUCUCAGGGUCCGGUGCCCCCCCCCAAAUCACCCCCCACUCAUUGUGGGGAGGAAGCCGAGCAGCCCCUUCGCCGUGCCAGCCACCGCGCCACUUCCGGUGGUGACAGUGUCGAGCACCUACGACGUAAGGGUGUGGGCUCCGUGCGAUUUAGCGCCACUGAGGUUGGCGGUGAGGCCGUGGGAUGGCGUUGCGUUGGAGCUGCAUGCGACCGUGAACACGUUUGCACGAUUCGUAUGAUGGGUAAAGCGUCUGCGCGACUCCAACGUACGCCACGCGGCCAUGGCUGCCUACCGGUGCCGGGAGCCUGUGCCGCGCCGAGAGGGGGGAGGGAUGCAGCACGUGCGCCCGGCAUGAUGGGGGAGCGGCUGUGAGGCGACCUGCGAGGCGGGCGGGUAGCGCUGGAGGCAGGGGCCGUGCUCCGAUGGCCGGGUCGGCAUUUUGCUGUAAGGCGUGUCCACCGGCUGCCUCGCACCACGCGAUGGGGCCUGUGACGGGCCGGGGGGAGGGGUAGGAGUGGCGUGUCACCCUGGUUGCACGGCGGAGAACGGACACGUUGAAAAGGCCGUUCUCCUGUCGGUCUGUCGAGGUGCGCAUCGCUCUAGCGCAAGCCCUGACUUCCUUACCGGUGUUGUGCGUGCGCGCUGCAGACUCCGCCACCCCUCUCCCUGUUCGGCUGUCUCUCUCUUUGUGUGUGUGUGUGUGUUCGCCGUUGGAAGGUCUCAUUCGCCGCGGUUGACCGCUGUUUUUCUGUCUCCGUUUCCUUUGACGGUGCCGUUUUCUGGUCCCGGUGUAUGGAGGACGCGGCGUGGGCUGUGAGGUCGCUCUCCAUGUUUGCAUGUGUGUGUGUGUGUGUGUGUAUGUGUAGACGGAGGGGGUCGUUUCUCUUUGAACAGCAUGACGAGCGCUU
rnacentral:misc_RNA from 1 species